rnacentral:rRNA from 1 species
UGAGGUGGAGCGAAUCACAAAAACUCGGUCUCAGUUCAGAUUGCAGGCUGCAACUCGCCUGCAUGAAGUUGGAAUUGCUAGUAAUCGCGAAUCAGAAUGUCGCGGUGAAUACGUUCCCGGGCCUUGUACACACCGCCCGUCACACCAUGAGAGUCGGCAACACCCGAAGUCGGUAGUCUAACCGCAAGGAGGACGCCGCCGAAGGUGGGGUUGAUGAUUAGGGUUAAGUCGUAACAAGGUACC